rnacentral:rRNA from 1 species
GACGAACGCUGGCGGCGUGCUUAACACAUGCAAGUCGAACGAUGAACUCCAGCUUGCUGGGGGGAUUAGUGGCGAACGGGUGAGUAACACGUGAGUAACCUGCCCUGGACUCUGGGAUAACCCCGAGAAAUCGGAGCUAAUACCGGAUAGGACCCUGGACCGCAUGGUUUGGGGUGGAAAGUUUUUCGGCCUGGGAUGGA